GAUGAACGCUGGCGGCGUGCCUAAUACAUGCAAGUCGAGCGAACAGACGAGGAGCUUGCUCCUCUGACGUUAGCGGCGGACGGGUGAGUAACACGUGGAUAACCUACCUAUAAGACUGGGAUAACUUCGGGAAACCGGAGCUAAUACCGGAUAAUAUAUUGAACCGCAUGGUUCAAUAGUGAAAGACGGUUUUGCUGUCACUUAUAGAUGGAUCCGCGCCGCAUUAGCUAGUUGGUAAGGUAACGGCUUACCAAGGCAACGAUGCGUAGCCGACCUGAGAGGGUGAUCGGCCACACUGGAACUGAGACACGGUCCAGACUCCUGCGGGAGGCAGCAGUAGGGAAUCUUCCGCAAUGGGCGAAAGCCUUACGGAGCAACGCCGCGUGAGUGAUGAAGGUCUUCGGAUCGUAAAACUCUGUUAUUAGGGAAGAACAAAUGUGUAAGUAACUAUGCACGUCUUGACGGUACCUAAUCAGAAAGCCACGGCUAACUACGUG
rnacentral:rRNA from 1 species